GUGAAUCAUCAAAUUUUUGAACGCAAAUUGCGCUUCCGGGCAUCCCGGGGAGUAUGCCUGUUUGAGGGUCAGUAUUAACAAAAAAAUCGGUUUGGUGGCAAAUUGUGACGUUUCCGGAGUUUAGGCUAUCUUAGGUUUUUGGGGUAAGGGGCUUAAAAUUGACCUUGUUGGCGCAUUUUUAGACGUACAUAAAUUUUUUUUUAUUCGUCUAUUCUUAAUGCGAAACUCGUAUUAUUGAG
rnacentral:misc_RNA from 1 species